GAUGAACGCUGACAGAAUGCUUAACACAUCAGCAAUUGAUUGGUGGCGGUCGGGUGAGUAACGCGUAAAGAACUUGCCUCACCGCUAGGGACAACAUUUGGAAACGAAUGCUAAUACCUAAUACUGUGAGAGAGCUUUGCGUCCCAUUAGCUAGUUGGAGAGGUAACGGCUCACCAAGGCGAUGAUGGGUAGCCGGCCUGUGAGGGUGAUCGGGCACAAGGUGACUGAGGCACGGCCCUUACGCAAACGGGAGGAAGCAGUGGUGAAUAUUGGACAAUGUACCAAAGUCUGAUCCAGCAAUUCGGUGUGCACAAUAAAGUUGUCGGGAUGAAAAGUGCUUUCAGUUGGGAAGCGGUACCAACAGAAGAAGUGACGGCUAAAUACGUGCCAGCCGCCGCGGUAAUUC
rnacentral:rRNA from 1 species